GCCAGUAAGGGCAUAAUAUGUACAUUAUUUUCUAAAAUGUUUGAGUCAAUAAAAGUAUGUUUUGUAAAUACAGUUUUUUAUUUCAUUUUAAUUAAAGUUAAUUGUACAUUGACAAGUGCACAGCAAAUGAUUAUGCUAUAGUCUACAUUGGGAAUUAGAAAAUUAUCAACACAGGCAUUUGGCUUAAGAAAAGCCAGUUCGCGUAGUCUUCUGAUCACUCUUUCAAUGUAAAUUCGAAGACUUGCAAUCUUCUUUGACCUUAGUACAUCAUCUCUUCAACUUUUCUUAGCCGUAAAAUAAUGAAAAA